rnacentral:rRNA from 1 species
UGCCAGCCGCCGCGGUAAUACGGAGGGUGCAAGCGUUGUUCGGAAGUAUUGGGCGUAAAGGGCGCGCAGGCGGUCUUGUCCGUCAGGUGUGAAAGCUCGGGGCUCAACCCCGGAAGUGCACUUGAAACAGCAAGACUUGAAUACGGUAGAGGAGAGAGGAAUUCCUGGUGUAGAGGUGAAACUCGUAGAUAUCAGGAGGAACACCGAUGGCGAAGGCAUCUCUCUGGGCCGAUAUUGACGCUGACGCGCGCAGGCGUGGGUCGCGAACGGGAUUAGAUA